GAUGAACGCUGGCGGCGUGCCUAAUACAUGCAAGUCGAGCGAACGGACGAGAAGCUUGCUUCUCUGAUGUUAGCGGCGGACGGGUGAGUAACACGUGGAUAACCUACCUAUAAGACUGGGAUAACUUCGGGAAACCGGAGCUAAUACCGGAUAAUAUUUUGAACCGCAUGGUUCAAAAGUGAAAGACGGUCUUGCUGUCACUUAUAGAUGGAUCCGCGCUGCAUUAGCUAGUUGGUAAGGUAACGGCUUACCAAGGCAACGAUGCAUAGCCGACCUGAGAGGGUGAUCGGCCACACUGGAACUGAGACACGGUCCAGACUCCUACGGGAGGCAGCAGUAGGGAAUCUUCCGCAAUGGGCGAAAGCCUGACGGAGCAACGCCGCGUGAGUGAUGAAGGUCUUCGGAUCGUAAAACUCUGUUAUUAGGGAAGAACAUAUGUGUAAGUAACUGUGCACAUCUUGACGGUACCUAAUCAGAAAGCCACGGCUAACUACGUGCCAGCAGCCGCGGUAAUACGUAGGUGGCAAGCGUUAUCCGGAAUUAUUGGGCGUAAAGCGCGCGUAGGCGGUUUUUUAAGUCUGAUGUGAAAGCCCACGGCUCAACCGUGGAGGGUCAUUGGAAACUGGAAAACUUGAGUGCAGAAGAGGAAAGUGGAAUUCCAUGUGUAGCGGUGAAAUGCGCAGAGAUAUGGAGGAACACCAGUGGCGAAGGCGACUUUCUGGUCUGUAACUGACGCUGAUGUGCGAAAGCGUGGGGAUCAAACAGGAUUAGAUACCCUGGUAGUCCACGCCGUAAACGAUGAGUGCUAAGUGUUAGGGGGUUUCCGCCCCUUAGUGCUGCAGCUAACGCAUUAAGCACUCCGCCUGGGGAGUACGACCGCAAGGUUGAAACUCAAAGGAAUUGACGGGGACCCGCACAAGCGGUGGAGCAUGUGGUUUAAUUCGAAGCAACGCGAAGAACCUUACCAAAUCUUGACAUCCUUUGACAACUCUAGAGAUAGAGCUUUCCCCUUCGGGGGACAAAGUGACAGGUGGUGCAUGGUUGUCGUCAGCUCGUGUCGUGAGAUGUUGGGUUAAGUCCCGCAACGAGCGCAACCCUUAAGCUUAGUUGCCAUCAUUAAGUUGGGCACUCUAAGUUGACUGCCGGUGACAAACCGGAGGAAGGUGGGGAUGACGUCAAAUCAUCAUGCCCCUUAUGAUUUGGGCUACACACGUGCUACAAUGGACAAUACAAAGGGCAGCGAAACCGUGAGGUCAAGCAAAUCCCAUAAAGUUGUUCUCAGUUCGGAUUGUGGUCUGCAACUCGACUACAUGAAGCUGGAAUCGCUAGUAAUCGUAGAUCAGCAUGCUACGGUGAAUACGUUCCCGGGUCU
rnacentral:rRNA from 1 species